UACAUCUCUAGAAUCUGACGCCUUCCCUUUUCCCUAAUUAGCCAUCACCUGGGGUGACGACUCCGAGAAAUCCACACAACUAGGUUCUGUACCUUUUUACCGGCUGUAGGACUAACUGCAGACUGCGAGUCUUUCUCUGAAGCAUCACUUUACACAAGUCAGAAACUGUAAUUUCCACUUUGCUGCACCUCUGAGUACAGGCGGCAGGUGCCAAGCGUCCCGAGCCGUCCUGUUUCAGGGCAGCUGUUUUCGCUACCAUGGAUUGUAGACAAGAGGGAAGAAGUGCUCCCUGGAAUCCAAGCCCCCCCCCCC